AUAGCGUAUAUUAAAGUUGUUGCAGUUAAAAAGCUCGUAGUUGAACCUUGGGCCUGGCUGGCAGGUCCGCCUCACCGCGUGUACUUGUCCGGCCGGGCCUUCCUUCUGGAGAACCUCAUGCCCUUCACUGGGGGUGUGGGGGACCAGAACUUUUACUUUGAAAAAAUUAGAGUGUUCAAAGCAGGCUUUUGCUCGAAUACGUUAGCAUGGAAUAAUAAAAUAGGACGUGCGGUUCUAUUUUGUUGGUUUCUAGAGCCGCCGUAAUGAUUAAUAGGGACAGUCGGGGGCAUCAGUAUUCAAUUGUCAGAGGUGAAAUUCUUGGAUUUAUUGAAGACUAACUACUG
rnacentral:rRNA from 1 species